rnacentral:rRNA from 1 species
GACGAACGCUGGCGGCGCGCUUAACACAUGCAAGUCGAACGGAAAGGCCUGCUUUCCCUUGUGGAUUGCGGGUACUCGAGUGGCGAACGGGUGAGUAACACGUGAGUGAUCUGCCCCCAACUUGGGUAUAAGCCUGGGAAACUGGGUCUAAUUCCCGAUAGGACUGCAGGGUGGUGCCUGUGGUGGAAAACGAUUUUCUAGUGGUUGGGGAUGAGCUCGCGGCCUAUCAGCUUGUUGGUGGGGUAAUGGCCUACCAAGGCGGCGACGGGUAGCCGGCCUGGGAGGGUGGACAGCCACAUUGGGACUGAGAUACGGCCCAGACUCCUACGGGAGGCAGCAGUGGGGAAUAUUGCGCAAUGGGCGGAAGCCUGAUGCAGCGACGCCGCGUGGGGGAUGACGGCCUUCGGGUUGUAAACUCCUUUCGACCGCGAGGAAGCCACCUGGUUGGAAGGGUGGUGACGGUAGUGGUAGAAGAAGCACCGGCUAACUACGUG